rnacentral:miRNA from 1 species
UUUCAUGUUUUGUUUUGUUUUGUGUUGAGACAGGAUCUCCCUAUGUAUUCAAGCUGGCCUUGAACUCAUUAUGUAGCCCAGGCUAGCCUCCAACUCAUGGCAAUCUUCCUGCCUCAGCCUC